AAUGCACCUUCAAGUAAAAAAUUAAUACUCUAUGUGUUUUUUUUUGUGAGAGGUGCAACAAUAAAAUAUUCUUAGUCGCCUUUAAUUUGUUUUUGCAAAUUGAAGUUGAACCUAAGAAUAACAUAU